rnacentral:rRNA from 1 species
GUGGGGAAUAUUGCGCAAUGGGGGAAACCCUGACGCAGCCAUGCCGCGUGAGUGAAGAAGGCCCUAGGGUUGUAAAACUCUUUCAGAUGUGAAGAUGAUGACGGUAACAUCAGAAGAAGCACCGGCUAACUCCGUGCCAGCAGCCGCGGUAAUACGGAGGGUGCUAGCGUUGUUCGGAUUUACUGGGCGUAAAGGGCGCGUAGGCGGAUGUAUCAGUCAGAGGUGAAAGCCCCGGGCUUAACCUGGGAAUUGCCUUUGAUACUGUACAUCUAGAGUCCGAGAGAGGGUGGUGGAACUCCAAGUGUAGAGGUGAAAUUCGUAGAUAUUUGGAAGAACACCAGUGGCGAAGGCGGCCACCUGGCUCGGUACUGACGCUGAGGCGCGAAAGCGUGGGGAGCAAACAGGAUUAGAUACCCGAGUAGUCC